rfam:Sphingobacterium sp. IITKGP-BTPF85 Sphingobacterium_sp_IITKGP-BTPF85_Contig_00063, whole genome shotgun sequence.
GGGGUCGACCGGAAUUGACAGGAUGGAGACGGUUAUGUAAGCAUGCAGUGCGUUGUUAGUAGAGCACUUUAAUCGGAACUUUCACAAUUACAACUGGCGAAGAAAACUACGCCUUAGCUGCUUAAGUUAGACUUAACAUAGCUAUUUGUCCCGUUAGAUCCUGUUCUUUGGUUUAACAUUCGGGGCAUCGAACAAUAGAACUGGCAGGUGUGAUUUUGCUAAUCACUUGUAAGACUCAGCAAAUACGGCGUACGGUAUAGGUCUGCAACUCACCUUCCCUCGCUCGACAAUUAAAGAGAAGCUAAGCAUGUAGAAAGCGUACACAGUACCAUGACUGGACGAGAGUUCGAAUCUCUCCGGCUCCACGA